GGAACUGUGCCCGAAAUUCUAAGGACCACUUUGAUAGAGUGACAUACGGGGGUUAAAAUCCCCCCAGUUCCU
rnacentral:tRNA from 1 species